UGGAAUGAAUGGUUUGACGAGGGCUUAACUGUCUUAGAUUAAUUUGUUAGAAAUUGACUUUUAGGUGAAGAGGCCUAAAUUAGGCUAUAGGACAAGAAGACCCUAUUGAGCUUUAGUUUUUUACUUAAAUAAAAGUAUAUAGAUAGAGUUUAAUUAAGUAAUAGAUUUUGAUUGGGGCGAUCAAGGAAAAAGGUAAUCUUCCUUUAAUGUUAUAUAAGUUAUAUGAAUUGGUGAUCCAGGACUAUUCUGAUUAUAAGAAGAAGUUACCAUAGGGAUAACAGCGUAAUCUUUUUUGAGAGUUCUUAUCGAAAAAGAGGGUUGCGACCUCGAUGUUGGACUAAGGUGUCCUGAAGGUGUAGCAGCUUUCGAGGGUUGGUCUGUUCGACCAUUAAAACCUUACAUGAUCUGAGUUCAGACCGGCGUGAGCCAGGUUGGUUUCUAUCCUUAGUUUUAAUAAAGCUUUUACUAGUACGAAAGGAUCGUUUAAAGCUAAUUGUGGGAUUAGAGAAAGUAAGAUUUAGGAUAAUAUGAUAAUGAAAUUGUUUAAUAAUUUAU
rnacentral:rRNA from 1 species